AACGAACGCUGGCGGCAGGCUUAACACAUGCAAGUCGAACGCCCCGCAAGGGGAGUGGCAGACGGGUGAGUAACACGUGGGAACAUGCCCAAAGGUACGGAAUAUUCUCGGGAAACUGGGAGCAAUACCGUAUGUGCCCGAAAGGGGAAAGAUUUAUCGCCUUUGGAUUGGCCCGCGUCAGAUUAGGUAGUUGGUGGGGUAAUGGCCUACCAAGCCGACGAUCUGUAGCUGGUCUGAGAGGACGACCAGCCACACUGGGACUGAGACGCGGCCCAGACUCCUACGGGAGGCAGCAGUGGGGAAUCUUGGACAAUGGGCACAAGCCUGAUCCAGCCAUGCCGCGUGGAUGAUGAAGGCCCUAGGGUUGUAAAAUCCUUUCGUUGGGGACGAUAAUGACGGUACCCAAAGAAGAAGCUCCGGCUAACUUCGUGCCAGCCGCCGCGGUAA
rnacentral:rRNA from 1 species